rnacentral:rRNA from 1 species
UACGAAGGGUGCAAGCGUUACUCGGAAUUACUGGGCGUAAAGCGUGCGUAGGUGGUGAGUUAAGUCUGUCGUGAAAGCCCCGGGCUCAACCUGGGAAUGGCGAUGGAUACUGGCUCGACUAGAGUGCGGUAGAGGAGAGUGGAAUUCCGGUGUAGCAGUGAAAUGCGUAGAGAUCGGGAGGAACAUCAGUUGCGAAGGCGGCUCUCUGGACCAGCACUGACACUGGAGGCACGGAAAGCGUGGGGAGCAACAGG